CGCAAAAACACAUUAAUACAAAGUUGAAGACGGAAGUCUUAUUAACUUUUAUUAACCUUCUCGUAUCAUUUAAAUGGUGUGGUAACUAAUUCAGACCAAAAGUGAUAUUAUUUCUAAAUAUUUUAGGCAGGAUUAUGAAUAAGAGAGUGCAGCAAUGGCUACAUGUGAAGCAAGUGAAUUUGGAGUCCAGUUUUUCUUUGAUUUGAGGAUUGUGUUAUUGGGAAACAGAGCAGCAGGGAAAACCUCAUUGGCAAACCUAAUAACAGGUCAUGCAGAGUCUCAUCUAAGGAGAACGGCCCAGUGUGUGAAGAUGCAUGGAGAUUUUGCCGGAAGGCAGGUCACUGUACUUGAUACGCCGGGCUGGUGGAAGAACUACCUUGUAAAAGAAAACACUAAAUUUCAAAAACAAGAGAUUGUGCUUAGCGUAGCUCAUUGUCCUCCAGGGCCCCAUGCAGUUUUGCUGAUCAUACGUGUCAAUGCUUUAUUCAAAGAAAAACACAGAAGGUCAGCACAGGAACACCUGGAACUUCUGAGCGAAGGAGUCUGGAAUCUAGAAAUAUAGAGAACAGCUACAAGAACAAACUUUAGGAAAGCACAUUGGAAGUGAAGGAGAGUCUCUUCUGCUCUGGCUAGUGGAGAAAUGUGGACACAGAUAUCAUGUUCUUAAUACUGAGAGAGCCACCGGUACACAGCUUACUGGGUUACUGGAGAUAAUAGACGUGAUGGUUGUGGGAAACGGUGGCUGUCAUUUUGAAAUGGAGAGAAAAUGGUUGCAAAAGGUAGAAGGAAUGACGACGAAGAGAUACAUGAGAACAAACCAGAGGAGGAAGAUGGUGCGAGAACAAUGGGAGACUCCACUUGUACAACAAGAUGUUGGAAAGCAUUUCUCAGAAUUUUGUCUAGUGCUGCUGGGUUAUGGAGAAGCCGGGAAGAGUUUAACAGGGAACACCAUCCUCGGCAGACAGGUGUUCGGGUCAAGAAGAACCAGUGUGUUCAGAGACAUGGAGAGGUGGGAGGACAGCAGGUCAGCAUCAUAGACACCCCUGGCUGGUGGAAGCAUCUGCCCAUAGAACAAACCUCUGAACUGAAUAAAGAUGAAAUCUCACAGAGUGCAUCUCUAUCCAUUUCUGGACCAGUUGCUUACAUUUUUGUUCUUCGUGCUGACUGUUCCUUUAAAGAGCAGGAACGGAGGGCGAUGGAGGAUCAUUUGAGGCUUCUGGGCUCCACAGUUUGGGAUCACAGUAUAGUUCUGUUCAUUUUUGGGGACCUCUUUCUACACCUUUUUGAGUAGAAAUAUCUAUAACAUCCUUAAAACAAGAUAAAAUUAUUAUUAUUAUUAUUAACACAAG
ensembl:lncRNA